GACGAACGCUGGCGGCGUGCCUAAUACAUGCAAGUCGAACGCUUCUUUCCUCCCGAGUGCUUGCACUCAAUUGGAAAGAGGAGUGGCGGACGGGUGAGUAACACGUGGGUAACCUACCCAUCAGAGGGGGAUAACACUUGGAAACAGGUGCUAAUACCGCAUAACAGUUUAUGCCGCAUGGCAUAAGAGUGAAAGGCGCUUUCGGGUGUCGCUGAUGGAUGGACCCGCGGUGCAUUAGCUAGUUGGUGAGGUAACGGCUCACCAAGGCAACGAUGCAUGGCCGACCGGAGAGGGUGAUCGGCCACACUGGGACUGAGACACGGCCCAGACUCCUACGGGAGGCAGCAGUAGGGAAUCUUCGGCAAUGGACGGAAGUCUGACCGAGCAACGCCGCGUGAGUGAAGAAGGUUUUCGGAUCGUAAAACUCUGUUGUUAGAGAAGAACAAGGACGUUAGUAACUGAACGUCCCCUGACGGUAUCUAACCAGAAAGCCACGGCUAACUACGUGCCAGCCGCCGCCGUAA
rnacentral:rRNA from 1 species